rnacentral:misc_RNA from 1 species
CUACUUGAAGAAAGAGGCCUAGAGUGUGCUGAGAGCUGUGGGAUGUAUCGCAGUAUGUUUACGAAAAUAUAAAAUUUGUUUGUUAGCUGUUGUGAUCGACAUGCCUUCAAUAAUGUAACUUUUUUGUAUAACAACUUUAAAUUUGAAAAGUACAUUAGGUUAAAUAAUUUGUUGUGAUAUUUAUUUUAUAAAGCCGAUGACAUAAUAGAUAGGUGAUGUCUACCGAGACACUAGUGAUUAGGGCAAAAUAAUGUUUGUAAUGUUUAAUUGUAACAAUUACCUUCACUUUCGUUUAAAAUGUAGAUUUUUUUUCGCUGGUUAAGUGUAGUAGUACCAAGAAAUUUAGUAGUAGUGUAGUAUAUACCAAGAAUUUUUAAAUAUACAUUAUAUAUUUACAAAAAA